rnacentral:rRNA from 1 species
UGGGGAAUUUUGGACAAUGGGGGCAACCCUGAUCCAGCAAUGCCGCGUGUGUGAAGAAGGCCUUCGGGUUGUAAAGCACUUUUGUCCGGGAAGAAAUCCCCUGCCCUAAUACGGCGGGGGGAUGACGGUACCGGAAGAAUAAGCACCGGCUAACUACGUGCCAGCAGCCGCGGUAAUACGUAGGGUGCGAGCGUUAAUCGGAAUUACUGGGCGUAAAGCGUGCGCAGGCGGUGAUGUAAGACCGAUGUGAAAUCCCCGGGCUCAACCUGGGGAACUGCAUUGGUGACUGCAUUGCUCGAGUAUGGCAGAGGGGGGUGGAAUUCCACGUGUAGCAGUGAAAUGCGUAGAGAUGUGGAGGAACACCGAUGGCGAAGGCAGCCCCCUGGGCCAAUACUGACGCUCAUGCACGAAAGCGUGGGGAGCAAACAGGAUUAGAUACCCUGGUAGUCCACGCCCUAAACGAUGUCAACUGGUUGUCGGGCCUUCAUUGGCUUGGUAACGUAGCUAACGCGUGAAGUUGACCGCCUGGGGAGUAC